rnacentral:snRNA from 1 species
AAGUCUUUUAAAGCCCUUUAAAA